rnacentral:lncRNA from 1 species
GUUUAUUAUUAUUAAUACCAAUAACUUUAAUACACAAAGUAAAUGUUCAGUGUCAUAAGAGAGGUAUAUAUAAAGACCUAUGAAAACUCAGGAGCUACAGCAGGAACUUCUUAGGAGGGCAGGGCAAAGCAAAGCAUUCAUUGUUAGUGUUUAAAAAAAAGAGACAACAGACCCCAAAUGGAGUCACUUGUGUUAAGCCAUGUGACCAAUCAAGACUUAAUACCUAACUUAAUUGAGGUUUCAACCUCCCCCAGGAAUAUAAUCUUAACUGGUCAGUCUGGAAUUUCCUGGUCAGCACUAAUGAGGUAAUCCACUUGUUAGACCCCUUCCAUCCUCCAGAGAAAGAUGAGGUAAUCUGCUCUUUCCUUGUCCUGCCCCCUUCUGCUUAUAAAAGCCUUCCAUUUUGUACAUCUCCUUUCUAUCCGCUACAUGGGAUGCUACCCAAUUCAUGAAUCACUGAACAAAGCCAAUAAAAUCUAUAAAAUGUACUCAGUUGAAUAUUUUUUUAACAGAUUUGGUGGCAGCAGUGGGGUCUGAAGUGAACUUCUGAUGGCUUCAAGACAACAAGAAACACAGGCAUGGUAUUCCACAAACCCACUGAGUUCUCUGUCUUCCUGCCAUUUCCGAAGGCCAUGGAGAUUGCUCACAAGCAGACCUGAGUUGGGAGUGCAACCCGAGCGGAUUCUCCAGAGGUAAUAAACAUCUAGAAUAGGCCUCCCUGCCACUAGCCCAUGCCCAUUCCAUUCAGUUGUUAAGGAUGUUGAAGGUCUCUUAGAACAGUGGUUCUCAAAAUGUGGUCUCCAAAUGGCAGCAUAAUUAUCACUGGGAACUUGUUAGAAAUGCAAAUUCUCAGGCUACACCCCAGGCCUACUGAAUCGCAAAUUCUGUGGGCGUGACCCAGUGGAUAUGUUUUAACAAGCCCUCCAGCUGAUUCUGAUACAUGUUUAAUAUUUAGAACCACAGUCCUAGCCCAAUGGACUCACCUGGGAAACAUUAAAAAUACCAAUGCCUGAGUCUUACCUCACCCCAGAGAUUCUGAUCUAAUUGGUUUGGGAUGUGGCCUGGGCAUGAGUUUUUCAAUGCUCCCCAGGUGAUUGAAACCACUGUGACCUAGACCUUUGGAAGCAGUCCCCUGCAUCUGGGAAUGGCUA